UGGAAUACAUGGAGUUAGAAAUUAAGAUUCACCUCACUUUGCUCCAACUGCACGAUGAAACACAGCUUCCUCUGUGGAAGUCUUUGUUAAAGUGGCUGAAAUACUUUAUCUUGCAGGAAUAGCGGUCCUGUCAGAUGGUUUAAAUGCACGCAGAAAGAAAGCUGAGCCAUGUUAAAUCCAUUAGUCAACACAAUGAUGCAACAAGGAUGAAACAAUAAAAUGGUGCUGCCACCACAAGCAAUUCAGGUCUCCAUACUCUGUCAGAAAAAGCUGUAAAACAACAGAUGCACACCCUGGGUGUAGAGCCAUAUCGCCAUGUCAAACACCACCACUGCAGAACUUAAUGCAUGUCACCACAACAGCUCACGCGUUGACCAGGACACAGCAAACACAAGCCAAGGAAAGAGGAGAGCAUUUGCAGCAACCAACCCCUCCUAUGUCUCUCUGGUCCCCAGAACAUGUGGAUGACAUCUGUUUCUGCUCCACCAGAUGGCACACAGAGACACAAAUGGACUCCACCUGUCUUCACCUGGCUUGGGACACUGUUAGCAGCUGCUCGACAGGCUUGGCCUGAUGUAUCUGACAAAUAAGUCACAGAAGGACAUGAGCUUGAGCUGCUGGAAUAAUAACCACCAGCAGCAGAAAGAGUGGGUUAACCAGCUAUAUCCUGUAAUCAUACUGAAGAAACAGCUCUGGACCUGUUAGAUCCACCUGACAGGAGGAACCGUUCAACGAGAAAGCAACCUGUGCUUCAACAAGCUUCAGCUAACUUUUGUAAAGAGCUGCUGUUUAAUCAUUUCACAUAUUUCAGAUGUCAAAGGGAAUAAAAUAUUCCUGUAGUCUUCCAUCAGCCUCUCUGGGCUCUGAGCGAAGGAAGAUUACAAUUUAUUGCAACA